UUGUUCGCACUUCAGCAGCAUGUAUACUGAAAUUGGGACAAUUCAGAGACGAUUAGCAUGGUCCCUAUGCAAGGAUGGCAUGCAUGUGAGAAGGUUUUUCUUUCC